rnacentral:rRNA from 1 species
GCGACCCCGAAGAUGGUGAACUAUGCCUGAAUAGGGCGAAGCCAGGGGAAACCCUGGUGGAAGCCCGCAGCGAUUCUGACGUGCAAAUCGAUCGUCAAAUUUGGGUAUAGGGGCGAAAGACUAAUCGAACCGUCUAGUAGCUGGUUCCCUCCGAAGUUUCCCUCAGGAUAGCUGGAGCCCGGUGCAGUUUUAUCAGGUAAAGCGAAUGAUUAGAGGUCUCGGGGUCGAAACGACCUCGACCUAUUCUCAAACUUUAAAUGGGUAAGAGGUCCGGCUUGCUCGAUUGAAGUCGGACGCGGAAUGCCGGGGCUCCUAGUGGGCCAUUUUUGGUAAGCAGAACUGGCGAUGUGGGAUGAACCGAAAGCCGGGUUAAGGUGCCCGAAUCGACGCUCAGCAGAUACCAGGAA